rnacentral:tRNA from 1 species
UGGGGCGUCGUCAAGUGGUAAGACACAUGGUUUUGGUCCAUGUAUUCGAGGGUUCGAAUCCUUCCGCCCCAGCCA